rnacentral:lncRNA from 1 species
GAUUUAAGAAACUUUAUUUUGAGUUUUAUCUUUUUUGAUUAUAAUAUUUAAAAAAAUCUAAAUUAUAUUCAAAAUUAACUUCUCAUAUAAUUCAAUCACAUAAUAUUUCACUUACAUAAUCAAUAACUCAUAAAUCAAUCUCUAAUUUAUUCCACAAACUCACUUCUCAGAAUUCAAAACCUAUCCAUUAUUCUUCAAUAACAAAGAAAACAAAGAAAAUAAAGAAGUAGCACUAAGCUUAACCUUGGCUCAUGACUAUCACAGUCUAACAUUCUAACAAACUUCUACAACUCCUAUAUAAUUCCUCUUGAUUUCUAUAUCCUAACUAUAAUCCUAUAAUAAUUACUUUUAAUAACUAAAUCAACUAUCCAUCUUUAUGAAUUGACUAUUCU